rnacentral:rRNA from 1 species
GACGAACGCUGGCGGCGUGCCUAAUACAUGCAAGUAGAACGCUGAAGGAGGAGCUUGCUUCUCUGGAUGAGUUGCGAACGGGUGAGUAACGCGUAGGUAACCUGCCUGGUAGCGGGGGAUAACUAUUGGAAACGAUAGCUAAUACCGCAUAAGAGUAGAUGUUGCAUGACAUUUGCUUAAAAGGUGCAAUUGCAGCACUACCAGAUGGACCUGCGUUGUAUUGGCUAGGUGGUGGGGUAACGGCUCACCAAGGCGAGGAUACAGAGCCGACCGGAGAGGGGGGUCUGCCACACUGGGACUGUGACCCGGCACAGUCUCCUUGAGGUAGCAGCCGUAGGGCUACUGCGGCCAGCAGCGGAAGUCUGACCGCGCAAGGCCGAGGCAGUAUAGAGGGUUUUCGGGUCGUGAAGCUCUGUUGUCAGGGAAGAACGAGUGUGCGCGUGGAACGUUCCCACUGUGACGGUAUCUUAUCAGAAAGCGCCGGCUAACUACGUG